rnacentral:rRNA from 1 species
GACAGAGGUGCCAAGCGUUAGGCGGAAUCACUGGGCUUAAAGCGUGUGUAGGCGGAGUUCUAAGUACCUUGUGAAAUCCCACGGCUCAACCGUGGAACUGCUUGGUAUACUGGUUCUCUUGGGUCAUCUAGGGGCGAGCGGAACAAGUGGUGGAGCGGUGAAAUGCUUAGAUAUCGUCAAGAACACCUAUUGCGAAGGCAGCUAACUAAGCUUUAACUGACGCUGAGGCACGAAAGUGUGGGGAUCAAACAGG